rnacentral:rRNA from 1 species
GACGAACGCUGGCGGCGUGCUUAACACAUGCCAGUCGAACGAAGAGCGAUGGAAGCUUGCUUCUAUCAAUCUUAGUGGCGAACGGGUGAGUAACGCGUAAUCAACCUGCCCUUCAGAGGGGGACAACAGUUGGAAACGACUGCUAAUACCGCAUACGAUCUAAUCUCGGCAUCGAGGAUAGAUGAAAGGUGGCCUCUACAUAUAAGCUAUCACUGAAGGAGGGGAUUGCGUCUGAUUAGCUAGUUGGAGGGGUAACGGCCAACCAAGGCGAUGAUCAGUAGCCGGUCUGAGAGGAUGAACGGCCACAUUGGGACUGAGACACGGCCCAGACUCCUACGGGAGGCAGCAGUGGGGAAUCUUCCGCAAUGGACGAAAGUCUGACGGAGCAACGCCGCGUGAGUGAUGACGGCCUUCGGGUUGUAAAGCUCUGUUAAUCGGGACGAAAGGCCUUCUUGCGAAUAGUGAGAAGGAUUGACGGUACCGGAAUAGAAAGCCACGGCUAACUACGUG